UAGAGAGAUGGAACUUAGUGACCUGUCAGGCUGUGAUGUCGUUGUUAAGAUGCUGUUGCUUAAGCAGCUCUGUCUCUGUCUGCAUGGUGCUGGAUAUGAUGCAUUAAUGGGAUGCUGCAAGAUUUGCCUUAUGUUGAGCAAUCAACAAAAUUAUUUGAAGCAUCAGAGAGAAACUUUGACUUUCUGCUUGAUUGUGUUGUUUCGGGAUGUAGGAGACUGGACUGGUACCCUUGUGACCUAGUGUCAAUCUUUUGUGAAGCCAACAACUGCAAAGAUGGAUGUUUUAAAAACACCAGCCAGCGCUGGGGCUGAGAGAAACAGCACUGCAGCUCAGUCCGGCCUAGACAGGAUGUAGAAGACCUGCAUUGCUGGUGGCCUGUGUGAUCUGAGGAACAAACAUGGUGUGGGUGACACAAAGACAUAAGAAACAGUCCUGCAGCAUGGCUCCUGUUCCUUGGUCUGGAGACUACCCAAGGAAGUCACAGGAGUCAAUAGAGGCAGCUGUGCAGUGCACAAAGAGCAGCACCACUGCGGAAGGAGGGAUUCAGUCCAGGCAAGGAAGAGUUCAAAGUAAAGAGAUUCUCCAGAUGGUUGUGCUCGCUUGCUUGACAAGUGGGGCUGAGCAAAGCUUAAUAGCUACCAACACCAAGGAGGAAUUUUGUUUCCCAAAAUGCCAAUUCCAAGGAAAGAGAAAAAUAAAUAACACUGAAUGUCACUGUGUGAGAUCAUCUGGCAGAUGA
rnacentral:lncRNA from 1 species